GUUGCCGUGACCUAGUCGUUAAGGCGAUAAACAUGAAAUCUUUUGGGAUCUUCCCGCACAGGUUCGAAUCCUGCCGACAACG
rnacentral:tRNA from 1 species